rnacentral:rRNA from 1 species
GACGAACGCUGGCGGCGUGCUUAACACAUGCAAGUCGAACGGAAAGGCCCUGCUUUUGUGGGGUGCUCGAGUGGCGAACGGGUGAGUAACGCGUGAGUAACCUGCCCUUGACUUUGGGAUAACUUCAGGAAACUGGGGCUAAUACCGGAUAGGAGCUCCUGCUGCAUGGUGGGGGUUGGAAAGUUUCGGCGGUUGGGGAUGGACUCGCGGCUUAUCAGCUUGUUGGUGGGGUAGUGGCUUACCAAGGCUUUGACGGGUAGCCGGCCUGAGAGGGUGACCAGCCACAUUGGGACUGAGAUACGGCCCAGACUCCUACGGGAGGCAGCAGUGGGGAAUAUUGCACAAUGGGCGGAAGCCUGAUGCAGCAACGCCGCGUGCGGGAUGACGGCCUUCGGGUUGUAAACCGCUUUCGCCUGUGACGAAGCGUGAGUGACGGUAAUGGGUAAAGAAGCACCGGCUAACUACGUG